UGGGGAAUUUUGGACAAUGGGGGAAACCCUGAUCCAGCCAUCCCGCGUGUGCGAUGAAGGCCUUCGGGUUGUAAAGCACUUUUGGCAGGAAAGAAACGUCGCGGGUUAAUACCCCGCGAAACUGACGNGCUACCUAGCAGAAUAAGCCAGCCGGCUAACUACGUGCCAGCAGCCGCGGUAAUACGUAGGGUGCAAGCGUUAAUCGGAAUUACUGGGCGUAAAGCGUGCGCAGGCGGUUCGGAAAGAGAGAUGUGAAAUCCCAGAGCUUAACUUUGGGAACUGCAUUUUUUCAACUACCGGGCUAGAGUGUGUCAGAGGGAGGUGGAAUUCCGCGUGUAGCAGUGAAAUGCGUAGAUAUGCGGAGGAACACCGAUGGCGAAGGCAGCCUCCUGGGAUAACACUGACGCUCAUGCACGAAAGCGUGGGGAGCAAACAGGAUUAGAUACCCUGGUAGUCCACGCCCUAAACGAUGUCAACUAGCUGUUGGGGCCCUUCGGGCCUUGGUAGCGCAGCUAACGCGUGAAGUUGACCGCCUGGGGAGUACGGUCGC
rnacentral:rRNA from 1 species